rnacentral:rRNA from 1 species
GUCGAACGAAACACCUUAUUUGAUUUUCUUCGGAACUGAAGAUUUGGUGAUUGAGUGGCGGACGGGUGAGUAACGCGUGGGUAACCUGCACUGUACAGGGGGAUAACAGUCAGAAAUGACUGCUAAUACCGCAUAAGACCACAGCACCGCAUGGUGCAGGGGUAAAAACUCCGGUGGUACAGGAUGGACCCGCGUCUGAUUAGCUGGUUGGUGAGGUAACGGCUCACCAAGGCGACGAUCAGUAGCCGGCUUGAGAGAGUGAACGGCCACAUUGGGACUGAGACACGGCCCAAACUCCUACGGGAGGCAGCAGUGGGGAAUAUUGCACAAUGGGGGAAACCCUGAUGCAGCGACGCCGCGUGAGUGAAGAAGUAUCUCGGUAUGUAAAGCUCUAUCAGCAGGGAAGAAAACGACGGUACCUGACUAAGAAGCCCCGGCUAACUACGUGCCAGCAGCCGCGGUAAUACGUAGGGGGCAAGCGUUAUCCGGAUUUACUGGGUGUAAAGGGAGCGUAGACGGAUGGACAAGUCUGAUGUGAAAGGCUGGGGCUCAACCCCGGGACUGCAUUGGAAACUGCCCGUCUUGAGUGCCGGAGAGGUAAGCGGAAUUCCUAGUGUAGCGGUGAAAUGCGUAGAUAUUAGGAGGAACACCAGUGGCGAAGGCGGCUU